GGCCUGUUAGCUUAAUCGGUAAAGCGUUGGGGGCUCGGAGUUGAGUUAUCCCUAAGGCAGCGUACCUUAGGCCCUCUUCUCCAAUGAGACACCAGAGAUGUCCGUUCGAACCGGAGACUGGCCA